rnacentral:misc_RNA from 1 species
UUAAACGUAAGAUUUUAAAUAUUAAUUAAAGUAGUUUAUAUAUGUGCGUGAAAAAAAAAAAACUAGGCAAUUGAUAACCACCGCAUUGUUUUAGCUGAAAAUGAGAAAAAUAAAAAAAUUGCGUUGCUUUGGUGGUCAAGAACAGACACGUGCACACAGCCUUUGCUUCGCAAAAGCAUAUCGUGGCGACAAGUGAAGCACCCUGCUGGCCACGUUUUAACGAAGAGUCGUCUAUGGCUACUGCAUUAUCAGAGUCCAUAACGUGGCAGUUGGUGGUUUAUUGUUUACAUUCUUCCUACAACUUGAGCGUCCUUGUCGGCCAGGUCAUGUGAUUGAGGCAUAGAUUAAUUAGAUUGCAACUUUGCAAGUGAGAGUUUUAUUAAUCACACAAAAAUAGGCAUAUAUGUAGGGCUAAAAAUUAAUUGCACAAAUUGAUGAGGUUUGAUAGUGAUGAAAAUAAUGGUCAUCCUGCCAUGUUUUUGUGGCUGUGGGGUUGGAUGGGCUGCCUGCUAACACUGCCAAAAUUUUCAACUCAUAUUAGAUGGUCUGCUAGUGAUGGAUGCCUGACGGCUUCUGCAGGUGGGGGUCUCCAAGUUAUGAUUAUAAGGAAUAUGAGAUAGAAUAAAGCUAACUACAAAUUUCAUAGCCAUGAAAAUAAGAGGACUCGGCAGUCCAGUCGAGCAUCUAUUUGGGAAGUAAAGGCCGUAAGAAUUAAUUGUAACUGUUGGUCCCACAUUGCUGUUAGAGUAUGAGCUCUUGCCACCAACUGUGUGACAUGUAUUUUAGCCAUUAAUCUAUUCAAGUG